rnacentral:SRP_RNA from 1 species
GCCAGGCAUGGUGAUGCACGCCUGUAAUCCCAGCUACUCGGGAGGCUGAGGCAGGAGAAUCGCUUGAACCCAGGAGUUGGAGGCUGCAGUGAGCAAUGACAGCGCCACUGCACUCCAGCCUGGGCGACAGAGUGAGACUCUGUCUCUA